UAUUAAAGCAACUAAAAAGAAAAACAAAACAAGAGACAUUAACAAGUCUCUUGCAACCCCUUCUCAAUGGACAGGACUUAAAGUGGAAUCAGCAGGGAGCUGAGGCUUCUGGUCCCUCCCUGGUCUUGAUAUUUCCCUGAAGCUUUUGGGUUUCUUUAGAGAAGGGUCCCCAUGUCCCAGAUGGAGGGGAUGCCAGGCACCAGGCGGAGCUGAAGUGGCACAUUGCCAUCCACCUGUGGAAUUUCUCUCCAUUCUCCUGAUUUCUUCACCCUUUGCCAAGCCCAGUGAGUGUGGGUCCAACGUGGCUCAUGUCCAUCAGGGUGUUUUUCCUCCAUUAGCUUGAAGAACAGAACAAUGCAAAAUGUUCUAUAAAACAAAAAAAGGAAAAAUAAUUAAUUACCCAAGUCCUGACAAUGAUUUAAAAGAGACUAUGUAACAAACAUCUCCAUGUGAAUCAUGUUAAACUGUAAUAUUUCACUUGAAUUGAAGACCAGAAUUCGUAAGUUCCUUCCCUUCACCCAGAAAUAAGGACACCGCUCAUUUGUGACAUGAGUGCCAGGCAGCCAUGAUCAUGUGGAUUUGCAGUCCAAUUUCGUCCAUACCAGAAGACCAGAAAGACCGAAGUCUGCAAGCUUAGCCCCUAGUCAGUGCUCAGAUACCCAGAUGCACACUUUAGGAAACAGUUGGUUAUUUCUUUGAAACAUGCGCUGUGAACACUAAGCUAUCCCCAAGGCAGAUUUUUCUGUAGGAACAGUUUGUUUUUUGAGAAAUGUUUGUUA
rnacentral:lncRNA from 1 species